UUUACUAUGAUGGGUUACAUCCAUGUCAAAUCAACAAGUGCUAGAACGUAACCGCCUAACAUUUAUUUGAAAUUAAGAGUGCAUCUAGUAUUCAUAAACAGUAACGCACGUUCUACUGACCGAAGGUUACUGAGUACUGGUUUUUGACUUGCGGAAGGGUACCCAGUAUUGGUGCAGCCAUGGAUUCAGAAACAGAGCUGAUCCUUAAGAAGGAGCACAGGUACAGCAUGUCAGAGCUGUUCCCUGUACUCUUGGACACUUAUGAUGCAAAAAUGUUGCAGUGGUGUGAUAAUGCUGCAGGUCUGCUUUGUAUGGAGAACAAUCUACUGAUGCUGGGAUUCUGAGAGUCUGGUGAAUCAUUA